UAUCUUCAAGGAAAUUGUUCAAACAAGAUGCUAACAGAAAGGUUGAGUUCCCCAAAGGCUACCACAAGCUGUCCAACCCUAUUUUAGAUUAGCUGAGCAUUGUGUGAAUCCAGAUGUUCUUCUGCAGCCUACUCUGGAUGCAAUUCUCAGAACCAUAAAACCCAUACUAGCUGGGAAUUCUGGGAUUUGCAGUCUGAAAGGGGCCAGAGAAGGCCAAGUCAAGAAAGUUAUAUGGAUCCCUGCAUUCCGAGAGGCGUCUAGCAAGGGCUCCUUUUAUCCUUAGCAUCCAUUUGAAAUGUUAAUGGCGGUUACCCUGAAAAUGAACCCAGUUUUGUACGUCCCUGGGAUUUUGUGAUAGCUGCUCAUCCAGAAUUUCACCAUAUCCAAUUUAACUAGAGAAAAGAAGGACUUGGGGUGACAUGAUGGCAGGAUCCCAGUAUUUGAGGGGCUGCCACAAAGAAGAGGAGGUCAACUUAUUCUCCAAUGCACCUGAGCGUAGGACAAGAAGCAAGAAGCAAUCAAGGAGAGAAGCAACCUGGAAUUAAGGAGAAACUUCCAACAGUGACGACAAUUAACCAGUGGAAC